UCUAAUGAAAACCCGUAUUUCUAAACGUUGCAGCGUCUCCACUAAUUCCCUUGAUUCUCACAACGCUUUUGAUUUCCUUUAUUUAUUACAGGGCUCAGGGGAUAGACCUGUUGCUCACCCAAUCCUACCUAUACCCGAGGUCUUCAGGCAGCUAAGGUAUCGCUAGUAAACUCAGCGCGGAAUGAGCGGGGCUGUCCGAAGGGAUGUCCCGUCUGUAUCCCGCAAGGCGAUGAUGUACCGGGGCCUGAGGAAGCAAUAAAGGAGAUACCCAGCUACAGCAGCCGGCCCGUCUGUGGCAGCGUGGAGCUCCAGGUGCGUUCAUUCACACAGCGUCUGACCAGAUACAGGGUUGAGCCCCUGAGCGCCUAGGCCACGUAAUGUAGUCCUUAGAUAUCCUAAGAGCACAAUUACAAGAUCAAGCCCUGUGACAAGCGCAGCUGGAGAAGAAAUCCCAGUUCCCUCUUUUUAUUUAAAAUUACUCAUGGUUAGGGUAAUCAGGUUGUAAAUGACCCAAGUUCAGUUUCUCUUCUGCCACAAGGGAGUUCAGACGUAUCUCCCAUUUCCCAGGUUAAUAUGCCAAGCAAAUUACUUUUGUGGGCCUAAUUCUAUUCCUUCACAUGAGAGAAUAUUUAAAAGCCUUUGCCCAUUUAAUCCUCAUCUUCCUUGAGAACGUUCCAAAAGCUGUGCGAUGAGUAGGAGUUGCGGUGUCCUCUGUGAUCUGUUUAAAUCCCUCGCCUUGCUCUGCCUUUGUGACUACAAAACCUGCUGACUCGGUGCGAUUUUAAGGGGUGCACUGCCAGUUGGUCCAAACAGCAUUGCAGUGGAUGUGAUGCCAUAUGCUAUGAUGCUCCCUCCUCUCUGCUCUGCAGAGGUGAUGUAGAAAAACAGUCUGCAGGCUGUGUUAUUAAUUCAAUAUUGCAACGCUUUUGGAGCAGCCAUAACCAUGGGUUAUAGUCCCAGGAAUGGCCAUGGUCCUUGAGAUCCAAUUUCAGCCUGGGCAAAACCCAUCUUCUCUAAUUUAAAGAGAACUUCAGUGGGAAUUUGCUUGAUAAUUUCUCAUCUUAGAAUCCCUCCCUCUGGGUUUUACAGCCAUAGGUUACAAUUCAGGGGGUGUGGUUUUAGUAGCAGAAGAACAAGUAUCGCAGGUUUUAUCAUGAGAAAUUCCAAGGUUAUGCAAGACUGUGAAAUAAAACACAGGAAAAAUUA